UUUCCUUUUGUCCCCUUUUACACUACUACAAACAUAUAUAUGUUCUUAUCAGCUUAAUAUCUGAUACGAUCCCCAUGUGGGAUCCUCGAUAUUAAACUGAUUUUUGCAACAUGUCGAAGUGCUAGGAGCUUGCUUCACCUUUGCUGCGGAUCGGCUCGGUAUUGCAGUGAUAUUCUGCGUCAGUCACGGUGUA